ACGUAUUGCAAAUCGUGAGUUGAAGAAUCUGCGAGGAAGGGAAAUUGCAUUGGUGAAAGUCGUCUGGUUAGGAGCUGCUGGAGAAAGCAUGACCUGGGAGUUAGAGAGUAAGAUGCGAGACUCCUAUCCCGAGUUGUUUGCACCAGGUAAACUUUUAUUUUCGAGGACGAAAAUACUCUAAGUGGGGGAGAGUUGUAACACCUGUAUUCGAUUAAUUAAUAAUCGGGUAAAUUAUAAAUUUUAGUCAGGAGAAAUUAAUAUUAGAAUAGUAUUAAUUUUAAUAGUAUGUAAUUAAUUAAGAGGGUUUAGUUUUGUGAUGGUAAUAGUAUUAAUGGAAUUAUAAUAUAUUGAAAAUAGGGUUAAGGUGGAAAAAGGGUAGGAUGGAGAUUUAAAAAGGAAAAAAAAAGGGUUUGGGAAAAAAGGAAAGAAAGAAGGCCGUGCGUGUGAGAGGUAGCAGGAGGAGAAGGAGAGAAAGAGUAGUGUGUGCGUGAAACCUCAGAAAGGGAGGGAGAACGGUUCCGUUUCAAAGAUUUUGAUCAGGGAACUCGGAGCUGCACUCAAUCCAAAGGUAACCAGGAGGAGUAGUCUAUAGCUUUUAGUUCGAGUUGGAGUCCUUGCUCUGCUACGUAGCACUCGGGGGGGAAAUGGACGCUUGUUUUCCUUUCUGUUAUAAUUUGAAUUAAGUUGUUAUUUGAGAAGUUGUUUCUGUUUUAAGUUGUGGGCAAGAUACUAUGUUUUCUUUAAGUUUUAAAGACAUUGGAUUCGCUGCAUAACUAUUUGUCAAAGUGAACUAGUUCAAUGACUAAUUAACUGUCACAAGAGCAUUAAAGUUUAUUUAUGAGUUCAUCUCAAA